GCAGGCGGGCGGGGGCGGGAGGCGCCGCUCUCUCUCUCUGGUCAGUCUCUCUCCUCCCGGCUCUAAAGCUCCCCGGCUGGCUCCCGGGCUCCCGGGUUCCCGGGCUCCCGGGCUUCCAGGCUCCCAGCGCUGGAGCCCUUCCUCUCCGCCUAGGCGAGGCAGGCCGGCGGCAGGCCGCAGGAGGUGGUGUCGUGGAAUCCGCUGGCAGUCCGCAGCCCCGCAGAGCCUGGAGGCCGCCCUGAUGGAGCCGCGGCUCCCGAUUGGAGCUCAGCCCCUGGCAAUGGUGGCGGGUUUGGAGAUGAAGGGUCCCCUCCGGGAACCCUGCGUCCUGACCCUAGCCCGGAGGAAUGGGCAGUAUGAGUUAAUAAUCCAGUUGCAUGGAAAGGAACAACAUGUUCAAGAUAUCAUUCCUAUAAAUAGCCACUUCAGAUGUGUUCAAGAAGCAGAAGAAACUCUUUUGAUUGAUAUUGCUUCAAACAGUGGCUGCAAAAUUCGGGUACAGGGAGACUGGACCAGAGAGCGCCACUUUGAAAUUCCUGAUGAAGAACGCUGUUUGAAGUUCCUCUCAGAGGUCCUCGAAGCUCAGGAAGCUCAGUCACAGCUUCUUGUUCCAGAACAAAAAGACUCAUCUAGCUGGUACCAGAAAUUAGACACUAUGGAUAAACCUGCUUAUUCAGGGCUGCUUGGAUUUGAGGAUAAUUUUUCAUCUCUGGAUUUAGAUAAGAAAAUGAAUACACAAAAUCCCCGAUCAGGGAGUCAUCGGGAACCACCCCCUCCACCUUCUUCAUCGACUAGAAUGCUUUCGCGUGAAAAGGAAGCUUCAAACAAAGAACAGCCCAAAGUGACCAAUACCAUGCGGAAGCUAUUUGUCCCGAACACCCAAACCGGGCAGCGAGAGGGUCUCAUUAAACAUAUCCUCACAAAGCGAGAGAAAGAAUAUGUCAACAUCCAGUCUUUCAGGUUUUUUGUUGGAACUUGGAAUGUGAACGGCCAGUCUCCAGACAGCAGCUUAGAACCUUGGCUCGACUGUGAUCCAAAUCCUCCUGAUAUUUACUGCAUUGGAUUCCAAGAGCUGGACUUGAGCACCGAAGCCUUUUUCUACUUCGAGUCUGUGAAAGAGCAAGAGUGGUCCUUGGCUGUGGAAAGGGGGCUGCCUUCGAAGGCCAAGUAUAGAAAAGUUCAACUGGUCCGCCUUGUGGGGAUGAUGCUUCUUAUAUUUGCCAGAAAAGAUCAGUGUCAAUACAUCCGAGAUGUUGCUACAGAAACAACUGGAACUGGAAUCAUGGGGAAAAUGGGAAACAAAGGUGGGGUAGCUGUAAGAUUUGUAUUCCACAACACCACUUUCUGCAUUGUCAAUUCGCACCUGGCCGCCCACGUGGAAGAGUUCGAACGAAGGAAUCAGGAUUAUAAAGACAUCUGUGCAAGAAUGACUUUUUCAGUCCCCAAUCAGACUGUCCCGCAAGUGAACAUCAUGAAGCAUGAUGUUGUCAUUUGGCUGGGAGACUUGAACUACAGACUUUGCAUGCCUGAUGCCAGUGAGGUGAAAAGUCUUAUUAAUAAAAAUGAGCUUCAUAAGCUGUUGAAAUUUGACCAGUUAAACAUUCAGCGCACACAGAAAAAAGCUUUUGCGGAUUUCAAUGAAGGGGAAAUUAAUUUCGUUCCCACGUACAAAUAUGAUUCGAAAACUGACAGAUGGGAUUCCAGUGGGAAAUGCCGAGUUCCCGCCUGGUGUGACCGAAUUCUUUGGAGAGGAAUAAAUGUUAAUCAACUUCAUUACCGGAGUCACAUGGAACUCAAAACUAGUGACCACAAACCUGUUAGCGCCCUGUUCCAUAUUGGGGUGAAGGUUGUGGAUGAGCGGAGGUAUCGGAAGGUCUUUGAAGAUAUCGUCCGCAUUAUGGACAGAAUGGAAAACGACUUCCUUCCUUCAUUAGAACUUAGCAGGAGAGAGUUUUUUUUUUUGAGAAUGUGAAGUUUCGGCAGCUGCAAAAGGAGAAGUUCCAGAUCAGCAACAAUGGACAGGUUCCCUGCCAUUUUUCUUUCAUCCCUAAGCUUAAUGACAGCCAAUACUGCAAGCCAUGGCUUCGAGCUGAACCUUUUGAGGGCUACUUGGAGCCAAACGAGACCUUAGACAUCUCCCUUGAUGUAUACGUCAGCAAAGACUCUGUAACCAUCCUGAACUCCGGUGAAGAUAAGAUUGAAGAUAUUCUUGUCCUCCAUUUGGAUCGAGGCAAAGAUUACUUCUUGACCAUCGGUGGGAAUUACCUCCCAAGUUGCUUUGGAACCUCAUUGGAGGCUUUGUGCCGAAUGAAAAGACCAAUUCGAGAAGUUCCUGUCACCAAACUCAUAGACCUGGAAGAAGACAGCUACCUAGAAAAGGAGAAAUCCCUUCUGCAGAUGGUACCCUUGGAUGAAGGUACCAGUGAGCGACCCCUUCAAGUCCCCAAAGAGAUCUGGCUUCUAGUAGAUCACUUGUUCAAAUAUGCAUGUCACCAGGAGGACUUGUUCCAAACCCCUGGAAUGCAGGAGGAGUUACAGCAGAUCAUUGAUUGCCUGGAUACCAGCAUUCCUGAGACAAUUCCUGGCAAUAACCAUUCUGUGGCUGAAGCACUGCUCAUUUUCCUGGAAGCUCUGCCAGAGCCAGUCAUCUGUUAUGAGCUGUAUCAGCGAUGUCUUGACUCUGCUCAUGAUCCUCGGAUCUGCAAACAGGUCAUUUCCCAGCUUCCAAGGUGCCAUAGAAAUGUUUUCCGCUACUUGAUGGCAUUCCUUCGUGAACUCUUAAAAUUCUCUGACUACAACAAUAUCAACACCAACAUGAUUGCUACCCUGUUCAGUAGCCUUCUCCUAAGACCUCCACCAAACCUCAUGACAAGACAGACUCCAAAUGACCGCCAGCAUGCCAUCCAGUUCCUCUUGGUCUUCCUGCUUGGGAACGAGGAAGACUAAGUCUUUUCCUAUCCGAGAUUCUAGAGGAGGAAGACCUUGGGCUCCGACUACUUCAAAAUGAUCUGAAAAGUUAUCACACAAAAAGGGUCUACUGUAGGAUCUUACAUUCUGUUAGUAGUACAAAGGGAAGAGUUUUCCUAAUCCUUCCUUACCAUAUCCUACACAGCAAAAUCCUUUUAGACAUAUAUUGCCAAGCCAAAGUUACCAUAUUUCGGUGUUUUUGUGUUUACUCUUUGUAAAGCAAAGAGGUCUGUAUUUACACACCUUUACCUAGGGGUAUGUUUUCUGCCCUGCUUCCCAGUCCUCAUGAUUAUCUUUAAUACCCUAGGCCUGGAUUGAGAGGCCUUCCUGUUCUAAGCCUACAAGUACUACUUGCUAUAGCUCAGACUUGUCUACAGUUCUUUGUAUGAUGCACUUUGGACCCACCCUCUCCUCAUGUCACUACUUUGCACACUUCCUCCAUGCUCUCACUUUGAAGGAAGCCUGGAUGAGGCUAGUGACUCUGUGGGUGUCCUGAACAGUGAAGUUCACUGUCUCCAUGUGAUUGUUACAAGCGUUUGUGCAGUUCUACUACAAUGAUAUCUGUAUGUCACUGUAAUGUUGGCCUUCGUGGGGAACCACACUUGGUGGAGCCCGAUUCCCUUGUCUCAGACCAUGGUUAGUUACAUAAUUUUAUGGACUAUAGAGAUGGCGUCCCACUGAUGUGAGAAACAUCACAACAGCGAGGAAAGCACUGUGAGUAUAUCAGAAUGAAAACAUCCCUGCUUCCCAGUCCCCGUGCCCGGCUACUAUCCACACUUGACAUGCGGAGCAAUCCUGCAUGUUGGUCCCCAUCUCCCCCACUAGAAACCCACUUCCAGAGUCAUGUUUGCAUCACAGUCAAAAGAGAAGUCUGUGCACCUCAAGUGAGGUCCCAGGAGCUUUCCUCGCCCUCCAAACCAAGCAUUGAGGGUAACCCUCAGAACCCAUUCUCCUAUCUCCUAAAGUGUCGGGGAAAGUUACUGGCCUCUCUCAACAGGGCUCACUCUGAGCUCCACAUCCGCCUCCUUCAAGCAAAGACUUAAAAAGACUGCCCUUGACUCCUUGACACUAUAUCAAGUGCUGUGUAAGAGAGACUGGUCCGUGGGACCAGCCACACACAUUACCUCUUCCACUUGAAAUGACUCUAAGGUUUUCAUUUUAUUCAAGCUUUGUGGGACAGACAAACUUUUUAAAAAUUACUUUGUUGACUGACAAACCAGCUGCCAGCUUCUGGCUGCAAAACUGCCUGGUGAAAUUGACUUGCUUGGUUUCAUUCACCAAACCAACCCAAGUCGUGUCAUUCUUGCCUAUUAACAUCUGAUGUAAGGCGCUCAUAUAGGCUGUGUGUACAAUCUUGGGCACUGAUUCCAUCAGUAGUAUCUUGUACCAUCCAAGGAGAGGGCCAGGAAAACAUCCACCAUCAAAUGGUUUUCCAGCUCCCUCAUCUCUUCAAAAUUGAGUUCUUGGGAGAACAAAAGGUAUGUAUCCUGCAGUAGUUAAGCCCUUAAAUAAUUGGGAGUUGGGAAAUCGGAAUCAAAGUAUUGGUGCCAGCUCACUGAAGAUCUGAUUGGGUCAACAGUUGAUUAGUGGAAGACGGAGAGCAGAAGAAUUUUGUCAUAUCUAUUAGGCCAGAAAGUAAUCACUGAAGAAGCAGAUGGUAGGAGCUGGAGCAAGGUGGUCCACAGGGGAAUGCCUCUCCUGUGCCCAUUUUAUAAUACCUCGCCAAGCUUGGGUCUUUAGAUGAGCAAGAUUAUGGUUAGUGGGGGCUCUGUGGAGCAUGCACGUAGUGCCCUUCCUUCAUCAGGCCAAAGCACCAAGUUGCUUCACUGCCUCGGCCUUUUGUCCAGCUCAGCCUGGGAUGUCUAUAGGGUUGAGGGUUUUAGACAAUCUCUAGGAAAGGGAUACAAAACAGAUCCGAUGGAAGAAACCUACUUCCCUAUCCUGCCUAUCCUGCCCCUCAACCUCUUCAUUCCUAAUUCCUCCAAGGUACUAUUUCAUAGUUGCUCUGAAUUAAGGAUUUCAGGUUUAACUGGUAGUGAAAGACUGCACCUAGCAUCUUCGGGAAGAAAUGAUUCCAGUCUAUUGGCUGAUACUACAUUAGUUUCCCUUUCUGAUUCUUAAUCUGUAGUUCUUUGUUAUAUUUCACAAAAAAAAAAAAUGUCUCGGUCACUACGCAAAGCUGCUAGUGGGGUUCUGUAUUUUGUGUCAUCUUUUUUAUUAUAAUUUAUUGCAAUUUUAUGAAUAAAUAUAUGUUGUGUGAAAACUCAUUGUGAUCUGACUGAGAACUGAAGAGGGGAGAUUUAAUAUCACUUGGACUCACUUGACAUUUUUGUAGGCCCCACCCAACCAUACCUGUACCUGUCACUACUGAGCCUACAGAGAAAUACCAUUUAAAAUUGUUGUGCUGGGGCUGUAGCUCCAUUCUAGAGCGCUUACUUAGCAUGCACAAAGCCUUGGAUUUGAUUCUCAGCACCAGGACCAAAAAAAAAAGAGUGUUUUCCUGGGCUGGUAAGAUGAUUCCAUGGGCUAGUGUCCUGAGUUCAAUUCCCAGAAGCCACAUGGUAGGAGGGAACCGACUCCAGAAAGUUGUCAUCUAAUCUACACAUGUGUUGUGACAUGGCCACAUAAAUAAAAUGGGGACUAGAGUGAUGGCUCAGCAGUUAGGAGCACAUAUUGAUUAGUUUUGGUUCUCAGCACCCACAUCUGGCAGAUCACAACUGCUAUAACUCUAUGUCCAGGGGAGCCAAGAGCCCACACACAUAUGGUGCAUGUAUAAGAAGCCAUGUAUUUUAUGAGACUAAUAAAGAAGUUGUGUACUUUCAA